UCGGGUGUGGUGUACGGAACACACUUCUUGCGAUUUCAGUGUCAGUUUCAUCGAAGGAGAGAUCCGGGUUCGACUCCCGGUACCCGAA